UUUGGUGGAAAAUAUUAUUGUCUAUAAAGGCCAGGAGUACAUCAUCUACCGUGAAUUUGCAAAGAUGGGGACAUUUUUUAAUUACCCAGUUGAUUCUAAAGAAGUAGGAGUAUUUGUAGUGUCAAAUUUGUCUUCAGAUCUAAAAUGUACAAGGCUGAAUGACGUAUUCAAAUAUUUCAGGAUGCCAUAUGGGGAACAGGGCAGUUUUAUUGUCAUUCCCCUUUUACAUCAAAAAUAACUUUUAAUCCCCCACACCCCCCAACCCCAUCCCUCAGUGUAUUUCAUAGUGAGCUUCAUUAAGACAAAUGAAGUGGAGGUGGUGCCAGGUGUGUGGGUGGAAGGAGAGGUCUGUAAAUGGCCUAACUACAAACCCGAUGCCAUGUUGAAGGCCAUCAAGAACUGUGAGAUGCCUAAGGAGACCUGGACAAGUUAUGACAUCAGGGUUCUUUACAAAGCAAAGAGCUUUAGUGAGGCAAGGUUGAAACUUCGCAGGGCAGAAGAUGACACAGACCUCCAGUCAGAAGCAGAGGAGGGGAGGCCAAAAAAAAGAAAAACCAAGUAUGUCGCAAAUCUGCUGAAUGUGUUGCACUCAGAUUUUGCUCAGUUUGUCUACAUAAUGUUUGUCUUUAAACUAAGGCAUGUAAAAAGAUUUAAGCAUUUAAGUUGCCAAAUUUCUGUAAGAAGUAUCACUGAAAAAAUUGUAUGUGGGGUAGUUGGUGAGAAACCGUAACUGUGGGAUUUAAUUUACUUCAAAACCUUAGUUUUAUUCAUGGAUGGGUCUCUUCAUAGUAGGCAGUGUAAAUGGGCCUUACACGGCUGUAGGGUUGUAAAUAAUUUUAGUUUUUUCUCUUCAAAGACCAAACCAGCACUUCCUCUCGAGUCAGGAGGAGUCUGAUGAGGAGCCUGUGACGCCCAAACUAGUCCUCCCUAAGGUCCCCUCCAUUCCACCUCUGCCGUCACUGUUGCGUGAUGCCAUUUCCUCAUCAGAUGAAAUAUCUCCUCCAGCUAGUAAACUUGCCUCUCUGCUGCCGUUUCACGCCCUUGGACCUCCUGAGCCAUCCUACCAUCUUCCCUCUCAAUCGUCUCGCCACCGUGGAACUCCUGAGCCAUUCCAUCUUGCCCCUCAUGCUGCUUCUGAGAUGGACCUGCACUCUGCAUUACUACGAGAGAUCAUUGCCAAGCAGGAGGUGAUGUGUGAUAUGCAAAGAAAUCUGCUGCGGAUUGUUCAGGAUCUCUCUUCUACACCUACACCACAUGGACACCACAUGGACGGAAGUUUCCUGCCGUUGAGGGAUGCUGAGUCUCUUUUGGCGCUAGACCGCGACAUUAAGACAAACCCAGAGAAGAGAAAGGA